rnacentral:rRNA from 1 species
UACGGAAGGCAGCAGUGGGGAAUAUUGCACAAUGGGCGCAAGCCUGAUGCAGCCAUGCCGCGUGUAUGAAGAAGGCCUUCGGGUUGUAAAGUACUUUCAGUCGUGAGGAAGGUGUUAAGGUUAAUAACCUUAGCAAUUGACGUUAGCGACAGAAGAAGCACCGGCUAACUCCGUGCCAGCAGCCGCGGUAAUACGGAGGGUGCGAGCGUUAAUCGGAAUUACUGGGCGUAAAGGGCACGCAGGCGGUUAAUUAAGUUGGAUGUGAAAUCCCCGGGCUUAAACCUGGGAAUGGCAUUCAAGACUGGUUAGCUAGAGUCUUGUAGAGGGGGUAGAAUUCCAUGUGUAGCGGUGAAAUGCGUAGAGAUGUGGAGGAAUACCGGUGGCGAAGGCGGCCCCUGGACAAAGACUGACGCUCAUGUGCGAAAGCGUGGGGAGCAAACAGGAUUAGAUACC